UACGUAGGGGGCAAGCGUUGUCCGGAUUUAUUGGGCGUAAAGAGCGUGUAGGCGGCUUUACAGGUCCGUUGUGAAAACUCGAGGCUCAACCUCGAGACGCCGGUGGAAACCGUAAGGCUAGAGUCCGGAAGAGGAGAGUGGAAUUCCUGGUGUAGCGGCGAAAUGCGCAGAUAUCAGGAGGAACACCCGUGGCGAAAGCGGCUCUCUGGGACGGUACUGACGCUGAGACGCGAAAGCGUGGGGAGCAAACAGG
rnacentral:rRNA from 1 species